CCACCAUGCCUCUGUGCUGGGAGCUGAGAGUCUCCACGUGUCUGCUCUUCCUCUCGGUGGCUCCAGGCUCUGCACCCUGGAAUUUAUGCAUGCAGAGAGAACACCAGCUGCAUUUCCGCAGCAUCAGCUGGAACCUCAGCAACCCGGAGCCCACAUCCUCGGAGUACGCCGCCCUGCUGAGGGACACCCAGGACCAGUAACCACACUGGAGUGGACUCCCUGUGUACCUUGCCGCCUUGGCACAGAGACUGGACAGAGUUGCCAUCUAUGAGGAAUUCCUGUGGCUGACCCAGAAUGGUACCCAGCUGCAGAACUUGACCCUGGACAGGAAGAGUGUCCUUGGGGAUGAAUAUUCUGCCAACAGAGAUGACACCUCGACUGAGAAGCCUAGUAAACCUGCAGGAAGCCCCAGCCCAUGGUAGGGGGCGAGUAUCUUGAUGCUGUGCCUCAUCGAAGAGAACCAUGCGCACAGGGUUUUGGAUGAUGAGGAAAGUUGGCCAACCCUUGUCAAGGAUGGUUGAGGCACAGUGGGGUGAGCAGGAGCCCUGGGGCGAUGACAGGAGGUGGCUCACCCCAGCACUUGUCUCCCCAGACCACCCCGUCUGGGCCCUCAUCCUCAUCUGCUUGGCGGGAAUCCUGGUGCUCAUC